AAAAAGGGCUUCUGCUGUGUUUGGCACUAGAGGGGUAACGAUGGUUAUUCCUCUUGCGGAAUCGCCAUCAUGAGAUUUCGGAAGCACAAUUUUUAAACCAGGGGAUGCUAGUGAUCACUUGUCCUGGCGCCCCG